rnacentral:rRNA from 2 species
AUUGAACGCUGGCGGCAGGCCUAACACAUGCAAGUCGAGCGGCAGCGGGAAGUAGUUUACUACUUUGCCGGCGAGCGGCGGACGGGUGAGUAAUGUCUGGGGAUCUGCCUGAUGGAGGGGGAUAACUACUGGAAACGGUAGCUAAUACCGCAUGACCUCGCAAGAGCAAAGUGGGGGACCUUAGGGCCUCACGCCAUCGGAUGAACCCAGAUGGGAUUAGCUAGUAGGUGGGGUAAUGGCUCACCUAGGCGACGAUCCCUAGCUGGUCUGAGAGGAUGACCAGCCACACUGGAACUGAGACACGGUCCAGACUCCUACGGGAGGCAGCAGUGGGGAAUAUUGCACAAUGGGCGCAAGCCUGAUGCAGCCAUGCCGCGUGUGUGAAGAAG